rnacentral:rRNA from 1 species
GUGUCAGCCGCCGCGGUAACACCAGCCCCUCGAGUGGUGGGGACUUUUAUUUGGCCUAAAGCGUCCGUAGCUGGCUGUUUCCGUCUUCCGUUAAAUCCAGCGUCUCAAACGUUGGGCUGCGGGUGAUACCAAACAGCUAGAGGGUGGGAGAGGUCAGCGGUAUUCCUGGGGUAGGGGCGAAAUCCUUUGAUCCCAGGAGGACCACCAGUGGCGAAGGCUGCUGACUAGAACACGCCUGACGGUCAGGGACGAAAGCUGGGGUAGCGAACCGGAUUAGAUACCCGGGUAGUCCCAGCUGUAAACGAUGCUCGCUAGGUGUUGGGUCGGCCAUGCGCCGCCCCAGUGCCGCAGGGAAGCCGUUAAGCGAGCCGCCUGGGGAGUACGGCCGCAAGGCUGAAACUUAAAUGAAUUGACGGGG